AGUCACCACACACAUCAUGCAGAUACAGGAAUCAUCAGUUUUACAAAACAUCUCCAGACUUUUCUGAUGUUUCUCACAGAGUUUCUCCUUCAGAUUUAUGUCAGGAUCAACCAGGUUGUGUCCCUUCCAGGCAUCUCCUUCAUAGUGAGGCUGAAGGUGAGUCUGACAGUAGGAGGCCAUGCAGGUUAGACAGGACUUCACCGCUCUGAACUUCUUCCCAGUACAGAAGUCACACUCCACGUCUCCAGGGCCGGCAUAAUUCUGAGAUGGAGGAGAACUGAGUGUCGUCUUCUUUAGUUUCUUGAUGACUUCAUUC